GGGGCUGCUUGGUUUUGACAGCUCGUAUGUGGGAAUGUAAGCAUGCCGGACGUUGUAAGCAGGUUCCGUAACAGCCAACUUUCAUGCCAAAUAAAUGGCGAAAACAACAACUUUGCUCUCGCUGCCUAGCCAUAGCUAACGCACGAAGCUGUCUCCCCGGAAGUCUCUCUUCCCGACGUCCGGACCGAGGCAUCGGAAAGGGGAAGAUAGGUGACGUCGGCCUCGCGCCGUUGCCGAAAUCUUAAGAGGAUAAGCCGGUCGCCGGUAUAGCCUUGUACCAUCCUCCGGACGAAAACCAAUUCAAGGAUAAGCAUGUAGAAAGCGUUUUUGCAGCGUGUUUGGACGAGGGUUCGACUCCCUCCAGCUCCACU
rnacentral:tmRNA from 1 species